rnacentral:rRNA from 1 species
UUAUCUCUGUAGAGUCUGCAUAUCAAUAAGCGGAGGAAAAGAAACUAACUAAGGAUUCCCUCAGUAGCGGCGAGUGAAGCGGGAAGAGCUCAAAUUUGAAAUCUUCAAGGUUUUACCUUGACGAAUUGUAGUUUAAAGGAGUGUUUUCUGUUGGAGUUUUGGUAAAAGUUCUUUGGAAUAGGACAUCAUAGAGGGUGAGAAUCCCGUAUUUGACCAUUACUUUCCAGCUGUGUGAUACACUUUCAAAGAGUCGGAUUGUUUGGGAAUGCAGUCCAAAAUGGGUGGUAAAUUUCAUCUAAAGCUAAAUAUUGGCGAGAGACCGAUAGCGAACAAGUACCGUGAGGGAAAGAUGAAAAGAACUUUGAAAAGAGAGUUAAGCAGUACGUGAAAUUGUCAAAAGGGAAGCGUUUGACACCAGUGUUGUUUAGUUGAAAAUCAAUUCAAUAGUUUUUGAUUCUAAGUAGUAUUGACUUCAUCAGCUUGCUGCUUUCUUCUCAGAAAUUAUUGAAUGCACUUUUCAGUUAACAAGUCAACAUCAAUUUCUUUUGUUGUAAAAGGGUAAGAGGAAGGUGGCUUGCGCUUCGGCUCAAGUGUUUAUAGCCUUUUAUCUCUGCAGUCGGAGAGAUUGAGGUCUGCAGCGUAGACUCUUCGGGGUUAGAUACGUCGGUGCUAAGCUAUAGCUUUUCAUAGACAACUUGUUGACUAUGUUCAGUCAUGUAGCUUACUCGCUUAUGCUAUUUUACCUACGCUUAGGAUGUUGAGUCAUCACACAUCUCU